rnacentral:rRNA from 1 species
UGGGGAAUAUUGCACAAUGGGCGCAAGCCUGAUGCAGCCAUGCCGCGUGUAUGAAGAAGGCCUUCGGGUUGUAAAGUACUUUCAGCGGGGAGGAAGGGAGUAAAGUUAAUACAUUUGCUCAUUGACGUUACCCGCAGAAGAAGCACCGGCUAACUCCGUGCCAGCAGCCGCGGUAAUACGGAGGGUGCAAGCGUUAAUCGGAAUUACUGGGCGUAAAGCGCACGCAGGCGGUUUGUUAAGUCAGAUGUGAAAUCCCCGGGCUCAACCUGGGAACUGCAUCUGAUACUGGCAAGCUUGAGUCUCGUAGAGGGGGGUAGAAUUCCAGGUGUAGCGGUGAAAUGCGUAGAGAUCUGGAGGAAUACCGGUGGCGAAGGCGGCCCCCUGGACGAAGACUGACGCUCAGGUGCGAAAGCGUGGGGAGCAAACA